AUUGAACGCUGGCGGCAGGCUUAACACAUGCAAGUCGAGCGGAAACGAUGUAGCUUGCUACAGGCGUCGAGCGGCGGACGGGUGAGUAACGCGUAGGAAUCUGCCUAGUAGUGGGGGACAACAUGUGGAAACGCAUGCUAAUACCGCAUAAUGCCUACGGGCCAAAGAGGGGGAUCUUCGGACCUCUCGCGUCAAGAUAUGCCUAGGUGGGAUUAGCUAGUUGGUGAGGUAAUGGCUCACCAAGGCGACGAUCCCUAGCUGGUCUGAGAGGAUGAUCAGCCACACUGGAACUGAGACACGGUCCAG
rnacentral:rRNA from 1 species